GGGCUCGUAGUCUAGCGGUUAUGACGUCGCCUUGACGAGGCGGAGGUCGAGGGUUCAAAUCCCUCCGAGCCCA
rnacentral:tRNA from 1 species